rnacentral:rRNA from 1 species
UACGUAGGGUGCAAGCGUUAAUCGGAAUUACUGGGCGUAAAGCGUGCGCAGGCGGUUUCGUAAGUCUGACGUGAAAUCCCCGGGCUCAACCUGGGAAUUGCGUUGGAGACUGCAAGGCUGGAGUCUGGCAGAGGGGGGUAGGAUUCCACGUGUAGCAGUGAAAUGCGUAGAGAUGUGGAGGAACACCGAUGGCGAAGGCAGCCCCCUGGGUCAAGACUGACGCUCAUGCACGAAAGCGUGGGGAGCAAACAGG